rnacentral:rRNA from 1 species
AACAAACGCUGGCGGCGUGCCUAAUACAUGCAAGCCGAACGGGGAAAGCUUUCGGGUGAGUACUAGUGGCGCACGGGUGAGUAACGCAUGGAUAAUCUGCCCUCGAAUGGGGAAUAACUAGUCGAAAGAUUAGCUAAUACCGCAUAAGACCACGACUACUGAGGUAGUUGGGGUCAAAGGAGCAAUUCGUUUGAGGAUGAGUCCGCGUAAGAUUAGCUAGUUGGUGAGGUAAUGGCUCACCAAGGCGAUGAUCUUUAACUGGUCUGAGAGGAUGAUCAGUCACACUGGAACUGAGACACGGUCCAGACUCCUACGGGAGGCAGCAGUAGGGAAUAUUGGACAAUGGGGGCAACCCUGAUCCAGCGACGCCGCGUGAGCGAUGAAGGCCUUCGGGUCGUAAAGCUCUGUUGUAAGGGAAAAAGUUCUGAUUGUACCUUACGAGAAAGGAUCGGCUAACUUCGUGCCAGCCGCCGCAGUAA